GACGAACGCUGGCGGCGUGCCUAAUACAUGCAAGUAGAACGCUGAAGCUUGGUGCUUGCACCGAGCGGAUGAGUUGCGAACGGGUGAGUAACGCGUAGGUAACCUGCCUGGUAGCGGGGGAUAACUAUUGGAAACGAUAGCUAAUACCGCAUAAUAGUAGAUGUUGCAUGACAUUUGCUUAAAAGGUGCAAUUGCAUCACUACCAGAUGGACCUGCGUUGUAUUAGCUAGUUGGUGAGGUAACGGCUCACCAAGGCAACGAUACAUAGCCGACCUGAGAGGGUGAUCGGCCACACUGGGACUGAGACACGGCCCAGACUCCUACGGGAGGCAGCAGUAGGGAAUCUUCGGCAAUGGACGGAAGUCUGACCGAGCAACGCCGCGUGAGUGAAGAAGGUUUUCGGAUCGUAAAGCUCUGUUGUAAGAGAAGAACGAGUGUGAGAGUGGAAAGUUCACACUGUGACGGUAUCUUACCAGAAAGGGACGGCUAACUACGU
rnacentral:rRNA from 1 species